rnacentral:rRNA from 1 species
GAUGAACGCUAGCUACAGGCUUAACACAUGCAAGUCGCAGGGUAACAUGAGGAAAGCUUGCUUUCCUUGAUGACGACUGGCGCACGGGUGAGUAACGCGUAUCCAACCUUCCCAUAACUACGGGAUAACCCGUUGAAAGACUGCCUAAUACCGUAUGAUAUCGUUUGCUGACAUCAAAUAACGAUUAAAGGUUUAGCGGUUAUGGAUGGGGAUGCGUCUGAUUAGCUUGUUGGCGGGGUAACGGCCCACCAAGGCGACGAUCAGUAGGGGUUCUGAGAGGAAGGUCCCCCACAUUGGAACUGAGACACGGUCCAAACUCCUACGGGAGGCAGCAGUGAGGAAUAUUGGUCAAUGGGCGAGAGCCUGAACCAGCCAAGUAGCGUGCAGGACGACGGCCCUAUGGGUUGUAAACUGCUUUUAUGUGGGGAUAAAGUGCGUGACGUGUCAUGCAUUGCAGGUACCACAUGAAUAAGAACCGGCUAAUUCCGUG